AAAACAACCUCCAAAAGACAAAAAAGCAAAAGUGCAAAUUGAUUCUCAAGUCUCUGCCGAGUGCCGCCUCUUCCUCACUCAAGUCUCACCUUCGGACCGGACCUUCCUUCCUCCGCCUCCACCGCUGCCAGUCCUCAGUCAAGAGUCGAGACUUGAGGUUUCUCCUUGGAACUAGCGAGGUUUGUGCAAAUCCAUACACCUCUCAAUUGAAUAUUUUAAGGGAAUGGACCCUCGAUAUGCUGGAGAAAUGCUAAGGCAUUUGGAUAAGCAGAAUGAGCUCCUUACUGAUGCUCACAGGUCAAUUCUGCAUGAACUGCAUAAACUCUAGGUAGAGGAAGAAAUGCUGAUGCGCAAGUUCUAUGAGUUCAUGUCAGCUCAAGGCCUCACUAGAAGGGUAUAUUCAUUAUCUUGCCUUUGCACCUCAAUACUGUAGUUCUGCACUUUUUAUACAGCUGUAUUUUGUUAGCCUAUUUGAGUGGUUUUUGUCGUCGUCGUCUGAUUCAAGUGUUUAGUGAUUUUUGAAUUGCAUACGUAGUCACAGUGCUUAAAUUUCUCAUUAAAGAAGCAAAAAUUUUAUGUUGAUUUUUUGCAUUUUCUUGGUCUUAA